AAACCUUAGCUUUUAAGAUUUUGUACGAGUAUUAUUCAAGUAUCUGUUAUUCUGAUUAAUUCGAUUCAAUAAAUACUAAUUAAAUACAUGCAGUUGCAUGGGACAGGAACGAGUGAUAGCCACGUGAGGAAGAUGGUAGAAGAGCAUGGGUUUAAGCGGAGAAUCCGAAAAAGAUUUAUCAAAACUCCAAAAUUUUAAUAAAAAUAUGUCAGAGUAAUCACGUGGGCAGUCACAUGACAUAGCAUCCACGUGGCAUCCCUGAGAAAAGGAAAAAGACACGUGGUCCUACUUUCUUACCCCCUUGCGCGUGUUGCAUUGUCCCUCUCUCACCGAACACUCAAUUUCUUUCCUAAUCAUUUGAUGCGAUUUGCUUUGUAAGCUAACUCUC
rnacentral:lncRNA from 1 species